rnacentral:tRNA from 1 species
GGAGAGUUCGCCUAGCGGUCUAUGGCGCGCGCUUGGAAAGCGCGUUGGGCGCAAGCCCUCGAGGGUUCGAAUCCCUCACUCUCCG